rnacentral:rRNA from 1 species
GAUGAACGCUGGCGGCGUGCUUAACACAUGCAAGUCGAGCGAAGCACCUUGACGGAUUUCUUCGGAUUGAAGCCUUGGUGACUGAGCGGCGGACGGGUGAGUAACGCGUGGGUAACCUGCCUCAUACAGGGGGAUAACAGUUGGAAACGGCUGCUAAUACCGCAUAAGCGCACAGUACCGCAUGGUACGGUGUGAAAAACUCCGGUGGUAUGAGAUGGACCCGCGUCUGAUUAGGUAGUUGGUGGGGUAACGGCCUACCAAGCCGACGAUCAGUAGCCGACCUGAGAGGGUGACCGGCCCCAUUGGGACUGAGACACGGCCCAAACUCCUACGGGAGGCAGCAGUGGGGAAUAUUGCACAAUGGGGGAAACCCUGAUGCAGCGACGCCGCGUGAGCGAUGAAGUAUUUCGGUAUGUAAAGCUCUAUCAGCAGGG